rnacentral:rRNA from 1 species
UACGAAGGGGGCUAGCGUUGCUCGGAAUCACUGGGCGUAAAGGGUGCGUAGGCGGUUCUUUAAGUCAGGGGUGAAAUCCUGGAGCUCAACUCCAGAACUGCCUUUGAUACUGAAGAUCUUGAGUUCGGGAGAGGUGAGUGGAACUGCGAGUGUAGAGGUGAAAUUCGUAGAUAUUCGCAAGAACACCAGUGGCGAAGGCGGCUAACCGGGCCGAUACUGACGCUGAGGCACGAAAGCGUGGGGAGCAAACAGG